rnacentral:misc_RNA from 1 species
GAGAAGAUAAACAAAAGAGAGUUGCAGUCAUUGGUGCUGGCGUCAGUGGACUUGCUGCAGCAUACAAGUUGAAAGUUCAUGGCUUGAAUGUCACAGUAUUUGAAGCAGAAGGGAGAGCUGGAGGGAAGUUACGAAGCCUGAGUCAAGAUGGCCUAAUAUGGGAUGAAGGCGCAAAUACUAUGACUGAAAGUGAAGGUGAUGUCACAUUUUUGCUUGAUUCGCUUGGACUCCGAGAAAAACAACAAUUCCCACUUUCACAGAACAAGCGCUACAUUGCCAGAAAUGGUACUCCUACUCUGAUACCUUCAAAUCCAUUUGACCUAUUCAAAAGCAAUUUUCUUUCCACUGGAUCAAAGCUUCAGAUGCUUUUCGAGCCACUUUUGUGGAAGAAUAAAAAGCUUACAAAGGUGUCUGACAAACACGAAAGUGUCAGUGGAUUCUUCCAGCGUCAUUUUGGAAAGGAGGUUGUCGACUAUCUAAUUGACCCUUUUGUUGCUGGAACAUGUGGUGGUGAUCCUGACUCGCUUUCAAUGCACCUUUCAUUUCCAGACUUGUGGAAUUUAGAGAAAAGGUUUGGUUCAGUCAUAGUUGGGGCAAUUCGAUCUAAGUUAUCUCCUAUAAAGGAAAAGAAACAAGGGCCACCCAGAACUUCAGUAAAUAAGAAGCGCCAGCGGGGGUCCUUUUCAUUUUUGGGCGGAAUGCAAACACUUACUGACGCAAUAUGCAAAAAUCUCAAAGAAGAUGAACUUAGGCUAAACUCUAGAGUUCUGGAAUUAUCUUGUAGCUGUAGUGGGGACUCUGGGAUAGAUAGCUGGUCAAUUUUUUCUGCCUCUCCACACAAGCGGCAAGCAGAAGAAGAAUCAUUUGAUGCUGUAAUUAUGACGGCCCCUCUCUGUGACGUUAAGAGUAUGAAGAUUGCUAAGAGAGGAAAUCCAUUUCUGCUCAACUUUAUUCCUGAGGUCGAUUAUGUACCACUAUCUGUUGUUAUAACCACAUUUAAGAAGGAGAGUGUAAAGCAUCCCCUUGAGGGUUUUGGAGUGCUUGUACCCUCCCAGGAGCAAAAACAUGGUCUGAAGACACUAGGCACCCUCUUCUCUUCUAUGAUGUUUCCAGAUCGUGCACCCAACAAUGUCUAUCUCUAUACUACAUUUGUUGGUGGAAGCCGAAAUAGAGAACUCGCGAAAGCCUCGAGGACUGAGCUGAAAGAGAUAGUAACUUCUGACCUUAAGCAGUUGUUGGGUGCUGAGGGAGAGCCAACAUAUGUGAAUCAUUUAUGCUGGAGUAAAGCAUUUCCAUUGUACGGGCAUAACUAUGAUUCAGUCCUAGACGCAAUUGACAAAAUGGAGAAAAGCCUUCCUGGAUUAUUCUAUGCAGGUAACCACAAGGGGGGAUUGUCAGUUGGCAAAGCAUUAUCUUCUGGAUGCAAUGCAGCAGAUCUUGUUAUAUCAUAUCUUGAAGCGGUUUCAGCUGACACCAAAAACCAUAGCUGAAAUCUAUUCUCUUGCAGGUUUCUAUUCUUUGUUCCACAAAAUCGUUUAACUUCAUGACGAGGAGCAACUUUAACGUGCAGCCAGUGACGCAGCUCAAGCAUGAAACUCUCUUUCAAAGAGGAGCUGCGUUUCUGGAAAAUGAAGUGUUCAAAUGUUUAAUUUACACACCUGUUAUGGUAGCUGUUAGUGUUACCAAUAGAUGUUGGUGAAUUUUUUGCCGAUUUUCUUUCCUUGCUUUUACAUCAUACUCAAGGUGACCAGUCACUUUCCCUUUAAAU